CAUUUGCAUAUGGACAGGUAGGCAGACUGUGAGCGUGGGAGAAAAUAGUUUCGGCUGUUCCGCAAACACAUCGACCCCUGACAGGAUUAAGAGUUUUCUCUAUUGUCCUGAGUAAUUUCUUUGAACCAGUCCAGUUACCGCAGGACACGUCGUGCAUCUCACCUGGACGCGCAUUAACUGGCAGCGGCAGCCUCGUGAGCUGAGAAGGCACCGGUUAAACAGGUGAAGCAGCACCCGCUGCAUUCCGAUGAUGACAUCCCACUGCCAUUUGUAUCUAACUGAUGCUGUGAAGGUUCAGAUGUAAGAACGUAGGACUAACACACCUUGAUACCUUAAAUUCCUCAGGAAGCUUAGCGCUGCUGCUGCUGCUGUGUGUCAUCAGGAAGAAAAGGAGGAUGGAAGGAACAUACAGGCCCAGUGCAGAGGAGAGGAAACAGACAGGUUCAGGGGGAACUGAAAAACCUGGCCUGCCACUACCGUUGCCCA